AUGUCUACCACCUCCGCCGCCAUGUCGCCCAGCACCAUGGGUGCACUUUCCACCACCUCCUCCUCCACCUUCGCCUCCUCAUCCACCACCACCACCACCGCAUCCCUUGGAUCACCACCACAGGAGAAGCUGACGAGGGGGAAUUUUCUUCUCUGGAAGGCCGUCGUGCUGCCGCAGAUCAAAGGGGCACAAAUGGAGCAUCAUCUCGACGAGAAGAGCCCGGCACCGCCGCCCACCCUCACCAUUACCAAGGACGGCAAAGAAGAGCAGAUCGCCAACUUUGCAAACACCCUCUGGUAUGCACAACAGCAGCAACUUCAAGGAUAUUUGAUGGGCUCUCUUUCCCGCGAUAUUCUUGCACAGGUCGCCACGUUACAGACGCCGGCCGAAGUUUGGCAUGCCAUCCAUGCCAUGUUUGCUCCUCAGAGUCAAGCUCAAGCCAUAAAUACCCGCAUCGAGCUGACCAAUCUUCAGAAAGGUAAUAUGACAAUGGCUGAAUACCUUGGCAAAAUUAAAAGUCUUACAGAUGAAGUUGCCUGCACCGCCGCCGCGCUCUCCGAUCUGGCACACGUCUUGUUGCUGCAGCUAUGCGCGAGCAAGGGGGCGAUGGCGUGUGGUAUGUAG
rnacentral:rRNA from 1 species